CCACAUAGCACAAAGUAUACUUCUUUGUAGUGUAUUUCUAAUUUCAGAAAAUCCGAAAAUUCUUUUCAAUAAAAAUAAAGAUAAAUGAACUGACCUUUCUUAAAACAAUCUGGCUGAGUUUUCAUCAGCAUCUGAACUGGUUCCUAAUGUCAAGAGCAUUCUUACAUAACGUAUUAGCAUCAUGUCAUGGUACGAAUAAGGGAUGCAUCACAGUUAUAGGUUGUCAACAGACUCGCAAUAAGAGC